CUUCCUUCAAAGCAUUUCCUGAGUCAAAUUUUACUAGCGAGCAUAAGGGAAGAGUUGGGACUGAGUUUUACACUCUCUAAAACUACUCCUGCAGGACUGCUACUAAGGCUGACUGGAAUACAGGCUCCAGGUAAGGCUGACUGGAAUACAGGCUCCUGGUAUUUAUUUCCCCACCAGCUCUCCAUUGAUAACAAUGAAACAUACCUUUUUUAUGAAUGGAGAGCUAUUGAUUGGCUUGGAGUGUCAGCAUAAUUAUAUCUGAUAGACAGCCACUAGAGCAGGACUUAACCCUGCAAGGUAAUUAUUGCAGUUUAUACAAAACUGCAAUAAAUACACUUGCAGGGUUAAGGGUGAUGGGAGUUGGCAUCCAGAUCACUCCAAUGGACAGAAGUGGUCUGGGUGCCUGGAGUGUCCCUUUAAUGGAGCUUCUGUGUUUUAUUCAAUAACUGGAACUGAAUGAUCAAAGACUCAGUAUAAAAAAAAAAAAAAAACAAGUACAUUUCACACGUGUUGAUGGGGGAGCGGCUUUGAAGCCCCGAGUGUUUUGCUCUUUAGCCACAAAUCUCUACAGCUGGUGGAAGGGGCAGGAGGAUAUUAGUGUUUUUCUUUUUUUUAAUUUUAUAUCAGGCAGGCAUUUUUAAAAUCAGUCGCCUAUUAUAAAAAGAAACAUCAGCAGGAUAGUGCUCCACCAGGCUACUCAGGUGCAGGUGUAUUGUCCCCUAAAUGAAUGUCAGCGGGGCGUGUUGGGCAGUUGGGGAACAGAACUUUGCUGCUCACCCCUCCAUCAGGUAGUGUGGCAAUCACAUUGAUACCUGGGCCUAUGCUUGUUAUACUGGCUGUGCUUUUACUUGAGACCCCAGAAAGCAUGAAACCACAACACGCUGUACAUGGGUAGAAAGGAUGGGACAUGACAUAAAAAUGCAAGGAUAUACCAUGACAUGCCCCCACUCUCAUAUAACAGGGCAAAUGACUAGCACGAUGGGCACACGUGUUUGCUGUGAGGUUCAAAGUUAUGCCCCUGUUUCCCAAAAAAAGAGAUGAUUGAUGGGGGUAAAAUGAUUGAUGGCACUAUUGAACUGUCACUUUUGUGACAUUUACACCAUUAAAUAAAUUACAGAAACUCAGCUUCAACUUGUAUUAACUUUUUUUCAUGAGAUGCUUAGUGUUCUUUUAAAUAUAUAAAAGAUUUAGUAAAUUACAUUAAAUGCCAACUAUUGCUGAUAUGAAUUGAUAUGGUUAAAGGAACACUACAGGGUCAGGAACACAAAGUGUAUUCCUGAACCUAUAGUGUUAAAAAAAAUAUGUUUGCUCUCUGGCCCCCCUUAAAAAAGUAGAAAAAAAAUCAACUUUUUUCCAGAGCUGCAAGGGUUCACUGGCUCCGGUCCCGUCCCUGUCCCUGAUCAUCAAAACUGACACUCAUCCAAUCCAAUGUUUUCCUAUAGGAAAAGCAUUGCCAAGGCAGGGGGCAGAGCAAAAUGGCAAACUGGCCAGUCAGUAUCUCCUCAUAGAGAUUCAUUGACUCAAUGCAUCUCUGUGGGGAACGUUCAGUGCCUCUGAGUGACUGCGACUGGAGGUGUCCCCAGGCAUGAAUGUAAAAAAGUGUGCAGUGACAGGCUAUAGACACCAGAACAACUACAUUCAGCUGUAAUUGUUUUGGUGACUAUAGUGUCCCUUUAAAGAAGAGUGUCAUUUCUGCUUUAGCCAUGCCUCCAGGGUGAGUCAGGACGUGGGUGGCUGUGGGUGUUUAUUCCAUAUUAAAUUGCUUGAAAAUUGUUUAACACUAAAUGGAAGGACAACAUGAAGGGAAUCCAGGCACAGUAUCCGAUUUAAUAAAAUGUAAUGGUGAUCGUGCCUACAGUGUCCAUUUAAUGGCACCCAAUGUUUUACUAUAACUGCAAAUCAUAGGAAUUUAUAAGUUACACUGACUAAUGGCAUAUGUUACAACAUUAUUGGUUAAUCAUUUCUAGAACUAACACAACAAUGGGUUCCAUUGAUUAAACACUUUUGUAACUGCCACAUGUGUUUCUCUUUCACUCUGCUGUUCUUAAACAUAAUCCUUCUGGCUUAAUGUAGGUAUUUGUGAAUAAAGUUCAAGUGAAUUCCAGACUUGUUACUACAUCGAGAAAGGAUGAGACAGCAGGACACUUAACAGCAUUAUGAAUACAAACCUGUAUUCCCAACGUCAUAGUGCCCUAGUCCCUAAUUUGAUUUAGUGCAAUAAAAAGUAGUACAAAUAAAACCCGUUUAACUUCCUCACUGAUCGUUCAAUCCAGUACUCCUCAUAGACGAACAUUGGAAAUGAGAUUGGUAUGCAUGGCAAGUGCCACAUGUAUCAAAUCAAAUGCUUCUUAUAGGAAAGCACUGAAUUCGGUGUUUUCCUAUGAGCUGUAUUUGGUCACAUAAACGAGUUUCACUCAGUUGUUGUACAGGAAGCGCCUCUGGUAGCUCUCCGUAAGACAGCCACUAUAGGUGUGUUUAAUCUUGCAAUGUAAGCAUUUUGAUAAAGCUGCAGUGUUUUACAUUACAGGGCUAAAACCACAGGACCACUUGCCCUCCAACCAGGCCUUUUUUUUUUUUUACUUUAGAGGAAGUGAUCUGGGUGCAUUUAAUGGUACUUUAAAAGUACAGCUGGAAGUAUAACAUUCUGUUACUAUUGGACAAGGUUAUAGAAGUAUACCAAUACAAAUAAAUAUUCUAUUUGUUUCUUUGGUGAUUGCUGAUUUAUGGAACUUUGCCCAACUUUUCAUGUAAUCAAAAGAGAGCAGUUACCUGUGCACUAGCCCAAAUCCCUAUGCACAUAUAAAGAACUGGAGGUUUUUAGUAUUACCCCAAUGGCCAUUUAAGUGUAAGCUCACCUGCCACAUCAAGGCAAAUCCUCUUAGGUAAGUCCUACAUUAACAAUUCACCUUGAUGUUUUCAACUAUAAAAGGGGUAUUUUUCUAAACCCCUACACACUUAUUUUCCCAUGGGCUUGGCGGCAGCAUUGUAACAUGGCUGUGUGAUACAAAAGCAAGUAGAAAAGCAGGUGCACUGUAAAAUGGCACAUCCUAUGGCUAAUGACAGUAGAUAAUUUCUUAUCUCCUGCUCUGGUAAAGGCUUGCUAUGCCCUGCAGGAGUCUUCUGUAUGUAAUUUAAUUUAAAUUUGCAAGCAGGAGAUAAAAACUUUUAACCCCUUCAGGACGGAGUCAAUAGUGCACGUUCUGAUCAAAACAAAAUCUGGAAUUUGCGCUUUAUGUCUGUUCAACCAUAAUUCACCUCUUUCAUAUUAAGUGCACCCACACUUAUUAUAUAUCAUUUUCUUCAGGAGAAACUGGGCUUUAAUUUCUUAUGAACUAUUCAUAAUUGAAACAUAAUUUAUUAUGAAUAAAUUUAAAAAAACUGUGAGAAAUUAAGAUUUUAAAAAAAAUUGUAGACAUUUUAGCUGUAAAUGUCAUAAUAAUGUUAGCUUUAACUGCAAAAAAACACAUAUUUGGAUUCAGCAAAGUCUCACAAGUACAACAGUACCCCCCAUUAACAGUUGUUACGGUGUUUUGGAAAGUUACAGGGUCAAAUAUAGCACAUUCAAUUUUUCCGUUUUUUUCAAAUUGAAAUUUGCCAGAUUAGUAAUGUUACCUUUGAGACCGUGUGGUAGCCCAGGAAUGGGAAUUACCCCCAUGAUGGCAUACCAUUUGCAAAAGUAGACAACCCAAGGUAUUGCAAAUGGGGUAUGUCCAGUCUUUUUUAGAAGCCAUUUAGUCACAAACACUGGCCAAAGUUAGAGUUCAUAUUUGUUUUUGUGUGAAAAAAGCAAAAAACUAAUAUUUGGCCAGUGUUUGUGACUAAGUGGCUACUAAAAAUUACUGGACAUACCCCAUUUGCAAUACCCUGGGUUGUCUACUUUUGCAAAUGGCGGUCUGGGUAUAGUGUUUUAAUGCAGGCUGUGUCAGUCACAGCCAAGGGAGGUAUGUCCGGGUCUGCAUAAAUAGAAACAAAAGUGAUUUAAUUUCCUACAUCCAAAUGAGUCAAAUGGAUGCAAUUUCAGUCAUUUACGCUUUAUAGGGGUUUUCACCUCCCCACAUAAUGUACAGAUGCAAAAUUUUCUGUAAAUAAGACUUUUUCUUAAUCUAUAAUCUCUAUGAUAUAUGUUUACAUGUAUUUAGAAAAUAUUAAAGGACCACUAUAGGCACCCAGACCACUUCAGCUCAAUGAAGUGGUCUGGGUGCCAGGUCCAUCUAGGAUUAACCCUGCAGCUGUAAACAUAGUUUCAGAGAAACUGCUAUGUUUACAUUAGGGUUAAUCCAGCCUCUAGUGGCUGUCUCAUUGACAGCCACUAGAGGCGCUUCCGCUCUUCUCACUGUGAAAAUCAAAGUGAGACGACGCUGACGUCCAUAAGAAAGCAUUGCGUUAUCAUUGACGGGGACCUAAAGACCCUGUAGUGUCAGGAAAACUAGUUUGUUUACCUGGCACUAUAGUGGUCCUUUAACAAAAGUAUUGUACUCCUUAGUUAGUAUCCAGUUGAGCAAAGCUUGCUUUAUAAUAGGCCUCCUCAAACAUGUUUAGAACCCUUUAAAUAUUUUGCUGUGUCUGUAAAUAUUAAAUGGCAAACUAACUGAUCCACAUCAUUCCAUUGUGGUUUUUUUUUUUAAUACAUACUUUAAAUAUUAUCUUUAUUUAAAGUGGAAGUGCAAUGAUAACCAAUGAAAAUAUAUGCAAAUGUUUAGUCAAUGCAUGUGUUUUUUCAAGUUUUAUAUUCUGUGUUCUUUAUGACCAUUACUUUGUCCAAACUGUUCCAUAUUCAACUUGCCAACUUUAUGGAAGAAUUCCUUUGUUAUAAUUCUAUUAUACUUUUUAAAUAAAUUCUGUUAUAAUCACAUUCUAAAUUAUAUUCUUAUGAAGUUUGUUUAUGGAAGGUAUUGUGUUACCAUGGAAACCAGUGAAACUAGCACGCACAUUACAUUAUUGACUCCACCCCUUUCCCAUGUUUGCGCUACUUUUUAGACCAGAUACAUUUAACACGCAAUGUUUCUGUUCUCCUCCUCAUUGUGAGCCCAUGCUGUGCCUGAACUGAAUUGGAUUUUGAUGUCACUUGCUGAAGCUUUAUGACUAAUUUUAAAGGAAAAUGGAGCACCACAUGAAAAAAGGUUGACACGUGGCAUUUGCGAUUUGCAGUGUUUUAAUCAGUAGUAUAAUUUCCAGAAAAGUUUGUUCUAAACUUUCAAAGGAGCACUUUACUGUUACGAAUACAAAUAUGUAUUCCUAACACUAUAGUGUAACUCUGACCCCUCGCCCAUCCAGGAAAGGGUAAAAAAACAACAACCUUUAAACACUUACCUGAUUCCAGCUGUGAUUUCCCUCAGUGCUGGGUCACGCUCCUACUCCGCUGACGUCAGCCAAUGAGGAGGAACCUAAUGAGCAUGUGUGGUGAGUGCCGUGCUUUAAUUCGGCUAUCCACGUAGAAAAUCAUUAAUUCACCCUAUGGGAUUUUGCUUGACGUUGGAUUUCCUCAUGCAAAGCGUGAGGUCGCAGAGCGUCAUUUCAAGGAGGCAAACUUUGUGAAACUGCAGGAAGUGCCUCUAAUAGUGUCUGUCUAGUAAAGGCAAUCUUAACACAGCAAUUCAAACAUUGCAGUUUCUACAAAACAGCAAUGUCUUACAUCGCAGGACUAAGGGAACAGGGACACUAUACCCAGACCACCUAAAUCAGAUGAAGUGGUCUGGGUGCCUCUAGUGUUCCUUUAACUACACUGCUCAAAAAAAUAAAAGGAACACAAAAAUAACACAUCCUAGAUCUGAAUGAAUUACAUUUUCUCCUGAAAUACUUUGUUCUUUACAUAGUUGAAUGUGCUGACAACAAAAUCACACAAAAAUUUAAAAAUGGAAAUCAAAUUUUUCAAUCCAUGGAGGUCUGGAUUUGGAGUCACACUCAAAAUCAAAGUGGAAAAACACACUACAGGCAGAUCCAACUUUGAUGUAAUGUCCUUAAAACAAGUCAAAAUGAGGCUCAGUAGUGUGUGUGGCCUCCAAGUGCCUGUAUGACCUUCCUACAAUGCCUGUGCAUACUCCUGAUGAGGUGGCGGAUGGUCUCCUGAGGGAUCUCCUCCCAGACCUGGACUAAAGCAUCUGCCAACUCCUGGACAGUCUGUGGUGCAACGUGACGUUGGUGGAUGGAGCGAGACAUGAUGUCCCAGAUGUGCUCAAUUGGAUUCAGAUCUGUAGAACGGGCGGGCCAGUCCAUAGCAUCAAUUCCUUCAUCUUGCAGGAACUGCUGACACACUCCAGCCACAUGAGGUCUAGCAUUGUCUUGCAUUAGGAGGAACCCAGGGCCAUCCGCACCAGCAUAUGGUCUCACACGGAGUCUGAGGAUCUCAUCUCGGUACCUAAUGGCAGUCAGGCUACCUCUGGCGAGCACAUGGAGGGCUGUGCGGCCCCCCCAAAAAAUGCCACCCCACACCAUUACUGACCCACUGCCAAACCGGUCAUGCUGGAGGAUGUUGCGGGCAGCAGAACGUUCUCCACAGCUUCUCCAGACUCUGUCACGUCUGUCACAUGUGCUCAGUGUGAACCUGCUUUUAUCUGUGAAGAGCACAGGGCGGCAGUGGCGAAUUUGCCAGUCUCGGUGUUCUCUGGCAAAUGCCAAAUGUACUGCACGGUGUUGGGCUGUAAGCACAACCCCCACUUGUGGACGUCGGGCCCUCAUACAACCCUCAUGGAGUCUGUUUCUGACCAUUUGAGCAGACACAUGCACAUUUGUGGCCUGCUGAAAGUCAUUUUGCAGGGCUCUGGCAGUGCUCCUCCUGUUCCUCCCUGCACAAAGGCGGAGAUAGCGGUCCUGCUGCUGGGUUGUUGCCCUCCUAUGGCCUCCUCCACGUCUCCUGAUGUACUGGCCUGUCUCCUGGUAGCGCCUCCAUGCUCUUGACACUAUGCUGACAGACACAGCAAACCUUCUUGCCACAGCUUGCAUUGAUGUGCCAUCCUGGAUGAGCUGUGUGGGUUGUAGACUCCGUCUCAUGCUGCCACUAGAGUAAAAGCACCACCAGCAUUCAAAAGUGACCAAAACAUCAGCCAGGAAGCAUAGGAACUGAGAAGUGGUCUGUGGUCACCACCUGCAGACCCACUCCUUUAUUGUGGGAGUCUUGCUAAUUGCCUAUAAUUUCCACCUGUUGUCUAUCCCAUUUGCACAACAGCAUGUGAAAUAGACAUGUGCAAAUCGUUUCGGCCCAAAUUCAUUUUUUUCAGAAUUUCGGGUAAUUUGGACAUUCGGGUGAUUCCGAAUGUCCGAAUAGCUGAAGUGCAGAAGUGCCGAAUUGCCGAAGUCCCGAAGUGCCGAAAUUACUGAAUUUCCGAAGUGUAGUAGUGCCAAAGUACCAAAUUGCUGAAGUGCCGAAGUUGCCGAAGUUCCGAGGUGUCAAAGUGCCGAAGUUCCGAAGCACAGUAUUGCCUAAGUACUAAUAUACUUACCCAGUGAAAGAAGAAUGUUACAUUGUAUACAAUUUUAAAUAAAAAGUAUACAAACAUAGCCAGGAUUCAGCUGUAAGCAUGUUGCAUUUUGCAACACUUACAACAAUCAAGUAACACACAUUCAUUUAAAAUUUAAAUUACUUGGCCAGUCAUGUAAUGACAGGAAUGAAUAAGUAGAUAACUCCCUAAUUCCCACAGUAUUAGGGAGCUAUCUACUAAAAGGCUGAAAGACCUGAAUUGGUCUUUCAGCCAAAUUUACUAAUACUAAGUAAAGAUUACUUAAUAUUAGUAAAUUAUGCCCCUACUCGCUAUACCGUGAGCAGCCUGUUUUCCCCUCAAACCAACCAUGGAUUCCCCAAAUAACAACAGAUACUAAAACCUGGAUAUAACAGGCCACAGCAUUUAUUAAAACAACCAAAUACUGUAUAACGCAUGUAAAUGUAUAAAACUGCACAUAAUAAAACAAUCAUAAAUUAACAUAUAAAUAACGUUGCAUAAUGUCAUACAGUAAUGUAACCAAAACGUUCCCACUCGGCAUAAGAAAUUCCUCUUCCAUUCUGGGCUUCCCACCAGCCGUCUUUGAACUCAGUGGGGACACGUCCAACUUGGGAGCAUAAGAGACAGGGGAGGAUGAGACCCGGCCAUUAUCCCCUUACUCAUCUACCUGCAAACCAUCUCCCACCCUAUUUGGAAAGGACAUGCCCCCCACCACAAACCCCGCUGUUUUACACCUAAAAUUAGCUGGGGGACCCACCCAAACAACCUGUUCCACCGCCUCUGGAUCACCAAAUUAAAGAGGUCGAACCGGACCUCAGUCAAAUGUACCCCAUCCGGUCUAAAUAAAUUUGCCGCCUCCUUUUCAAAGACCUAAUGGCGAAUGGGGAUACCCUUAACCCCCAUGACAAAAUAGUUCCUAGCCACUACUUCCGACCAGAUUAUACAGACAUCAGGGAACAAGAUCAAUAUCUGGUACAAGUCACUUUUGACCAUGUCCACCAAACCCCCGACUGGAACGGUCCCCAGGUCAUUGCCCCCCAGAUGGAUGACCAAAACAUACGGCGCCCAUAGCAGGCGAGAUAGCCUGACCAAUUACGAAAGGAGCCGGACCCACCACAUGCCCCGGCGCCGAACCACCGAACCUCCGCAGUUAAAGGCGUAAAACCAAGAAGCUCCCCUCCCGGCCAGACCGCUGACGUGCCCAGUGGAUGUAGGAUUACCAAACCACCAAACCCUGGGGGGAACCGAACCGGAGGAGGAAAAACAUUUAGCUUUGCAGACAGGCAGGAGGCACAUGGGAAACAAACCUCCUGGAUUCCCACCUCCCUAUCCUCUGCACCUCUUGAUCUGGCACACCCAGCCGAGAAGCCUGUGUCUCAGUGAAAAUUCGGAAAGAGUGCCCCCCCCCAAACUCCGCGCCCUCCAAGCUCAACGCAGCCAAUCCUAAACGAAAAAUGUGGACAAAUUGAAAGUGGGAGAAGAAGCUCCCAUCCACGUGCACCAGUAGCAGACCAGACAGUGCAGGGCAUACUGUGCAAAAAUUCAGAAUAGACAAGGCCAGGCAGGUGGCCAACCUAGGGACUGCCGCCAGCUGAAUCCACUUACCCUUCCCGAACAUGUCAGUCUUGGAGCAGCGAAUCUUAAAGUAAACUGGUCCUGCCCCUCCUGAACAUCAGAGAAAAGGAUCCCCCAAUGAUUGACCUGUUUGGACAACCAACUCCCCAAUCCUCACGGUGCCAAAGAAAGCGAAUUAAAAGGCGAGGCAAAACAGCCGUACCUCAAAGUCCAAGAAACACACCUGCGGGUGCACCUCACAUAACUGUGCCAGGAAGGCACCAGAUACCGGCCUCCUAUCCACAGAAACCCGACCCCUACGCAGACCCGCCUGCCGCACCAGAAGCUCAGCCCAGACAAGCACGAGGACACUGCCAAAGGCGACAUGCUUGCAGUAACCUAACUCUCCAAGAGCCGCAACAGACCUUGCAAUCGAGCGGGUGAAUCCAGAAAGACCCCUACUUCCGACUCAAGCUCGUGCCAUUCCGCUCAUACCUUUGAAUACCUGGCCCAAGUGGAACUAGACACUGAUCAAUGAACCAAUUCCAUCAGCCUGUCGUACCUACGGACACGGGUAACCCUCCUCGUCUGCGUGAGGCGCAGCCACCCGGAACUCCGCCCACAUGACACAUUGAGGCACAAGCACCAUAGCACUAAGCGCUGGAGCAAACGGACCACCGACGGAGAAGAGACAGAGAGAUGGUUAAUCGCUUGCACAACCCCUAGAUUGUCGCAAUGAAUAACGAUCCGCCAGUCCCGCAAUUCCAAACCCCACAAUUCCAACGCCACCACUAUGGGGAAAAGCUCAAGGAAGGCAAGGUUUCUAGUCAGGCCUGAGACGCACCAUGCAUCCGGCCAAGUAUCAGCGCACCAACGCGACCCCAAGACUGCCCCAAAGGUGAUGGAAUCCGCAGCGUCCAUAUUAGACGAAGAUCCAAACUGAACACCUUGGGCGCUUGCCAAUAGGAAAGGAAUCUCAGACUGCCAGGUCAUCCCGCAACUGCCGCGUGAGCUGAAUAAAAUGACUAGGCCCUGCCACCCCAGCGGUUGCUGUUGCCAGGCACCUGCUGAAUACCCACCCAUGGGCAUGAUACGAAAUGUGAAAUUCAAUUUCAAAAAGAGACUGCAGCUGGCACAACUGUAUCUUCCGCAAGCACUGGGCCACCGCCACAUCCCGGCGCAGGCUUUCUACCUUAUCCUGAGGCAAAUGGCACUCCAUGGCCACCGAAUCAAUUUGUACUUUUGUGCUGGGGGAUUGUUACAUUACCAGCACAGGUGACUAUGGCCACCUGGAACUCUGUCCUGGACUGCUAAAGGAAAAUUCUGUGCAAAACAUUUUUUGUCUGUUAUCAAAAUGCACCGCAUGCUGGCAAUAAAUGUACUGUGCUUCUCUCUUGCAGGCCAAGCCUGCAAGUGGAAGGGCAGAGGUGUAACUAAAAACCACCGGGCCCAGAUGUGAAAACCUCAUUCCCUUGCCCCAGUCCCUCAAUGUGUCUCAUUCACUCAUCCCUGAACCCUCCAUGUGUCUCAUCCCUCCCCCCCCCACAGGCCCCUAGCUCCUCCAUGUGUCUCAUUCCUUCGCCCACAGCCCCUCCAUGUGCUUCAAUGUGCCCCAGGACCCAAGUCCCUACAUGUUCAAUACCCCUAAGCCCCUCCAUGCAUCUCAUGUCCCCCCUACUCUACAUGUGUCUCAAAAAUGUAUCCCUGACCCUACAGGGUGAAAACCACCAUCUAGCCACCCUGGUCCCCUCAUGCCUCCCUAAAUAUCGUAAAAUUUCAAAUUUCAAUAUUCAAGUCUGCAGCUGCUUACUUAGUCCCUGUUUCCUUUAGACCUGUCCACUGACAUCAGCAGAAGUGGUAACCUGAUCCAAUCACAAUGCUUCCCCAUAGAAUUGGCUGAGACUGACAAUGAUGCAGAUCAGGGGCAGAGCCAGCACAAUUCAAACACAGCCCUGGCCAAUCAGCAUCUCCUCAUAGAGAUGAACUGAAUCAAUGAAUCUCCAUGAGGAAAAUUCAGUGUCUACAUGCAGAGAGUGGAGACACUGAAUGUUUGGAUGCAUUUUAGGCAGCCAUGACCCAGGAAGGAUCUCUAACAGCCAUCUGAGGAGUGGCCAGUGAAGUUAUCACUAGGCUGUAAUGUAAACAUUGCUUUUUCUCUGAAAAGACAGUGUUUACAGCAAAAAGCCUGAAGGUAAUGAUUCUACACACCAGAACUAAUUCAAUAAGCUGUAGUUGUUCUGGUGAUUAUAGUGUCCCUCUAAUCUCCGUAGAGAGGGGGGCCACUGACCUAAUGCUGCAUGCAGGGACGUAUUAGCCGCGAGGCAAACAAGGCAUUUGCCUUGGGCGGCAUUUUUCAGGGGGCGGCAAAAAACGCCGCCCCCCAAAUGCCCAGGGCAGAUGCCUUGUUAGCCUUGCGGCUAACUGACAUCCCGGGCGGCCGGCGAGGGAGCACUUCCCAUGAGCUGACUGCUCAGCUCCCUCGCGCACCGCAAAGUGAGGCUGGGAGCCGGAAGAUGACGUCAUCUUCCGGUUCCCAGCCUCACUCUGCAGCCGACGCGCGAGGGAGCUGAGCAGUCAGCUCAUGGGAAGUGCUCCCUCGCCGGCCGCCCGCCCGCCAGCGCCGCCCGCCCUGCAGCCACUGGACCACCAGGGAGAGAGACCCCCCCCCCAGCACUCCCAAAGGUAAGGAGGUUGGGGGGGGAUUUAAAUUUAAAAAAAAAGUUAAUGUGUGUGUGUGUUUGUGUCUGACUGUGUGUGUUUGUGAGUGUGUGUGUGUGUUUGUGUCUGUGUCUGUGUAUGUGUCUGACUGUGUGUGUGUGUGUUUGUGUCUGACUGUGUUUGUGUCUGUGUAUGUGUCUGACUGUGUGUGUGUGUGUGUUGUGUUGUGUCUGACUGUGUGUGUGUAUGUGACUGUGUGUGUCUGUGUGUGUUUGUGUGUGUGUUUGUGUCUGACUGUGUGUGUCUGACUGUGUGUGUGUGUUUGUGUCUGACUGUGUAUGUGUGUGUGUGUGUGUGUGUGUGUGUUUGUGUCUGACUGUGUCUGUGUAUGUGUCUGACUGUGUGUGUGUGUGUGUUUGUGUAUGUGUCUGACUGUGUGUGUUUGUGUAUGUGUCUGACUGUGUGUGUGUGUGUGUGUAUGUGUCUGACUGUGUGUGUGUGUAUUUAGAAGGUGGGGCGGGGGGAAGGGUUGGGUGGGGGUGGCGCGGGGGGAGGGGGGCGCCUGAGUUUUGUCCUGCCUAGGGCAGCACAAAACCAGGAUACACCACUGGCUGCAUGCAAGCAUUAUAGUGUUAGGAAUACAAGUUAGUAUUCCUGACACUACAGUAUUCCUUUAAGUAUUUGUAAUGAUGUUUUCACGUAACUUGCCCUUGAGCUCUGUAUGCUGCAGGUAACAAGCUAUGGCUGAAAUGAAUGCACUAGGUUCCUCUUCAUGUAUGUGGCUGACAAAGCAAAGCAUGUUCUAGCCUAUACCUUUGUUGAGAUAUAUUAUUCCUACCACAAGCUCCAGCAGUUAGUAGUGUUGCUGCGAGUUACCAUGCACAGUGCCGGAGCUCACUAUAAGAGUGCACUCUGCCAGCCCAUUUGGUGACUGAAUUGCAAGAGCCACAGAUUGAUGAAUAGCAUGAAACAUGUCUGGAUAUACCACUGUUAGAGUUUCUCUGAAUUAAGAUAACGUUUCAUUUUUCCUCAAGUAUACCUGAGGAACAAUAUAUUUAAAGUUUAUUUUUCUAUUGAUUGAUGAUCUUUUACCUUAAAGUCACAUCAUUUUAUAUUAUCUCUGUGGAUAGUCUUACAGUACAAUAUGUCAUUUUCUUAAAUCAGAAAAAUUGAUCUUUGUAAACUAUGGAAUGUAGAUAAUGUCACUGAACUCGUGGGAGUCCUCCUCCAGUGGCAAUAAACAACCUGUGUUCUUAAUUUACUCUUUUCCCUUGGGUCAUUUGUAACAGCCAAUUUACAACAACAUGCCCUCCACCGCUACAACUGAUGUAAAAUGAUAUGUCUUGCUCUGAUAUUCUCUUGUGUUUUCAUCUACGGCAACUAUAAUUAACACUACCAAGCAUAUUUAUUUUUAUAGUACAAAGAAAACAGCAGGCUAUACAACUGGAAUGGAUUAAUGGAUUUCAAACCCAGUCACUAUUUUUUUCAUUAAAGAAUGGAAAAUAUUGAUUAAUAGAUGUGAUUAAAUGGUGAAGAUGAUCUACAAUUUCAUUGCGAAUUUCAUCUUCAAGUUCAAUUUCUGAUUCUUCAAGAAAAUCCUUACGUGUUGGCAAAGAGUUCAAAUUAUUUUGCUCAACAGAUGAGGUCCAAAACUGCAGUUUACGAGACAGUGAAAAUAUUUUAUCUCUUGCAUUAAAAAUAUUAGUGUUUUUUUCCUUGAAGUGAUAAACAUACGUAAUUUAAUUUUGUGAAUAUGUCUGCAAGAUAGAAAUGAUUUAGGUAAACUAGAAAAAUGGUCAGAGUUGUGACAACUGACAUUUAAUGUGGAUAAGUGCAAGAUAAUGCAUCUUGGACAUAAAAACCCAAGGGCAGAGUACAUAAUAUUUGAUAGAGUCCUAACCUCAACAUAUGAGGAAAGGGAUUUAGGGGUUAUUAUUUCUGAUGACUUAAAGGUAGGCAGACAAUGUAAUAGAGCAGCAGGAAAUGCUAGCAGAAUGUUUGGCUGUAUAGGGAGAGGUAUUAGCAGUAGAAAGAGGGAAGAGCUCAUGCCAUUGCACAGAACACUGGUGAGACCUCACUUGGAGUAUUGUACGCAGUACUGGAGACCGUAUCUUCAGAAGGAUAUUGAUACCUUAGAGAGAGUUCAGAGAAGGGCUUCUAAACUGGUUCAUGGAUUGCGGGAUAAAACUUACCAGGAAAGGUCAAAGGAUCUUAACGUGUAUAGCUUGGAGGAAAGACGAGACAGGGGGAUAUGAUAGAAACAUUUAAAUACAUAAAGGGAAUCAACAUGAGUAUGUCGUCGGCAAACAAAGCCAACUUCUGUAUGCCGCCCGGGGUUGUCAAUCCAUGUAUCUGUGUGUUGCCAUUUAUAAGUCGCGUCAAGGGCUCAAGGCAUAGGAUAAAAAUAAGUGGUGACAGUGGGCAGCCCUGGCGCGUGCCAUUGUGUAUAGUGAAGGGUGCUGACAGGAAGCCGGUGCUGAAUACCUUUGCCGAUGGUUGAUGGUAAAGGGCCAUAAUACUUUUUAGGAAGGCCGCAGAAGAACAACAACAGCUCAAACACAAGCUGGCUGAUUUGGAGGAUCGGUCCCGGAGAAACAAUGUCAGAUUCUGAGGGAUCCAUGAAAACGUGGGCAAAGAGGUACUCACCUCAUAUAUCAAAGGACUUUGCACAACCUUACAGCCUGACAUCAUGGCUAUUAGACCGAGCUCACCGACUACCGAGACCACCGAGGUUGGCACAAGAUACACCUUGCGAUGUGGUGGUGAGAUUUCAUUAUUUUAAAUCCAAGGAUGCUCUGUUAACAGCGUCACGCAAACUUGACAAACUGCCCGAACUGUAUACUAACAUCAAUAUUUACGCUGACUUAUCAGCUCUGACGAUGGCCGGCGCAGGGAAUUCAUUACAGUGACGAAAACGCUGAGGAAUCACAAUAUCCAAUACAGAUGGGGAUACCCAACAAAAAUAAUUGUAUGGAGAAACGGCAAGAACCGCACGGUAAAUGAACCGGAGGUAGGCAUGCGCCUAAUACAAGAAUGGGGACUGUUCACAAUACAAACGACGGUAGCGGCCGCAACUGCACCACAACAAAGACUGCAAGGAGAAUGGCAGAUGGUGGGAUCGCCCGCUACAGCGUAAAGGACUAUGCUCCUGGGACUCUUUCCCUCACCUGAUAAACGCUAUACCAAUCAACCUCACGUAAAUAUGAGAGUCACAAUUCAACACAAAUGCUAGAGGGGGAAAAGCACAUAGAUCAAUUAAUAUUAGGCCAAACGUUUUAACUGAAUAAGUGUAGCAAUAGUGGGAGGGGUGGGGGGGGAGAUCCUGGGAGUGUCCUAAUGAAUAUGUGGGCAACACGAAGUUAAUAAUGCAAGGGCUGUGUUAUUACAAUUAGCUUGCAAGUCAUCCAUACCUCGUUCCUAACACCGAGCGCACCCCAAGGAUGAGCGCAGACACUGGCACAGGAUACUGGUCUGCGUCUCAACCGCAGAAGGCGCCGAUUGCAAUGAGGGAGCUAUGUAAAUACUUUAGUUAGGUUAAGAAAAUGUUACUUAUGUUAUUACUAUUCUUGUUCCUAUGUUCCCUUGCCAUACCCCCCCCAAGCCUCGCUAUGCCACCAUCAGAACAACCACGCUUUUCACAACUUAGCACUCACCUCAUAGUAUGGAUAACACCCUGAAAAUUCUUUAAACGCAGGUUGACAGCCCAGGAAAUGGCCAGAUCCAAGGCAGCAAUAGUGUGUCUACAAGAGACUCAUUUUAGCAUAAGUAGUGCAUGUUUUAAGUGCUAAAACAUUCUAAAUAAAAGCUGGAGAUCGAACACCCCAUGGAUAGUCAUAGAUCCACAUAAUACCCUUCCUCGAAAAAACACCCCAGGAGGUGAUGAAAACUCGGAUGAACUGGCCUCCCUGUCCCGAUGAGGAAUCCAAAAUCUGUCCCCUAAACCCCAAAGGACCACCUCCGCUGCUUUCCAGUUCCUAUAUUGGCUUAGCCAAGGGCGUAUCAUCCUCCGUUUUCCCUCACUUAAAACACGGGGAAGCAAUAUGAACCCUCCCACACAAAGAGUACUCGUGCUUGAAUUUAGAGCUUGCCCCUCAUUAUACUGCCAACAGUAACCAAGAAGGCAUGGAAUGGCCUUUGCACCCCCUCAAGAAAGGAUGACAGACAACCCUGGUGAGAUGUUGGCCGGGGCAUGAUCGCUAACCACAGACCGAUAUCCAUUUGGUCCCACCCUGUAGACGGGUGCACCGCCAGGCACUGGUGGAGCUGCUCAUCAUAGCACCACCAACUCAGACCCCCGUACAUGCGACACGCGUUCCAGCCUUAAUCUUAGUAACAGAACAGGGACGAACAUUUUACCACAGGUUUUUCCCUGAUCAUGAUAGCCAAGGGACCCGGGAGGGGGGACCCCAUUUUUUUUAACAGUGUUUAAUAGACAUGCCCCUACUCGCGUUAUAGCGAGUAGGGGCAAAAUUUACUAAUAAGUAAUUUUUACUUAGUAUUAGUAAAUUUGGCUGAAAGACCAAUUUAGGUCUUUCAUCCUUUUGGUAGAUAACUCCCUAAUACCGUGGGAAUUAGGGAAUUAUCUACUAAGCGGCUGCAAGAGAAGUCCCAAAGUGCCGAAGUCCCGAAAUUCCGAAGUUGCCGAAUUUCCUAAGCGCCGAAGUACAGAAGUUGCCGAAGUUACGAAGUGUUGAAGUCCCGAAUUUUCGAAAUGCCGAACCAAAAAUUUUCCCCAUGCACAUGCCUAGUAUUAAUAUUAAUUCUCCGUCUAUAUCUUUCCCUGGAAAACAUGUUACAUUUGCUACCCGUUGGGGGAGAUUUAUAUUUCUAUGGAAAAAGUAUUAUCUUGUCUGAAAGCAUAAAUGUAGGAAGACAAUCAAGUUUCGGUAUUUUCAAAAUAAGGAAGGGGAUUUACAUAAUUUUCUAUAAUAGAUGUGUGACCUCUGAUGAGAUCAAUGGAUUACCAAUUAAGUACUGAAAAGUAGAUAUAAAUUUAAGAAAGGGCCCGAGAGAGCAACAAAAUGCUGCCUCACCACCAUAUUCCAAUUAGGUCCAAUGUACUCACUGGAACCCUCACAGAGAAAACUGUCAACACCAAUAUUUGCUUAUUUUUCUACAAUUUUAUAAGAAGAUACUGUUUGCUGGUAAAAGAUUAAUGCUCAUGCUGAUAUAGGCAAUCUGGCUUCAGUAGGAUCCUACAAAAAAGGUCUAAUUUUCUUGCUCUAUUAGUCACCUCGUACCUCCUGUUAGUAGGACUACCAAGCAAUACACCUCUGUUCAGUGGAGGGAUAUUGGGAACACUCUUGAGAGAGGAGACUGGGAAUAUUUUUGGGAAGCAGUAUCAAAGACCUCUGUUUGGGGUACUCCAGGAAAAAAGCUUAGGGCACACUAUGCCAUAUGGGCAAAAUUUUAAAAUGUAUUUAUGUUGAAGAAGUUGUGGGGAAUGAGGGUCUUUUUUUCAAACCUGGUGGGGUUGUCACGAGACUGGCUAAGCCAUUACUCCUUCACUAGAUGGGAAAUCAAGUUGAUAGGCAAGUCCACUCUUAUGGAUUGCAGGAUAAUUGCAAAGUUAUGAAUGCAUCAGUCCAUUUCUAUGCAUUUGCUUUGUGACAUUUGGUCUCAUGCAUGAAUUGAUGGUCAAGCAUAUGGGAUCUUGUUGAAAAUAUGUGAUGUGAAAUAGAGAAAAGGGAUAAAGUGUUUCACCUAUACAUAAAUAAAUUCUAAUUUGAAAUUCCAAAGCUGAUAGUUUUAAUGAUAAUAAUAGUUUUCAUUAUUCAUAUUUGCUACUGCAGUAUUCAUAUCAGUUCUACUUGCCAUUUUGUUCCUGUUUAUUUUUUGUAAUAGAAUGAUGGCAUAUUUACUUUUUCAGUAUGCAGUUUUUCUUUGGAUUUAACCCCUUACUGACACAUGACAUGUGUGACAUGUCAUGAUUCCCUUUUAUUCCAGAAGUUUGGUCCUUAAGGGGUUAAGAAGCACCACUUUUCUUUUCUGGAUAUGAGUUUAAUUUAACAUGUCAUGGGCUCGUAACCAAUGUACUAUUGCCCUAGGUCUCAGUCAUCACCUCUCUACAACAUUUUUCACACCAGCCCUUACCAAGUAAAUGCAAUUUUGUAUAGUGUGUUUUACAUAUGUAUCUCUGCAACAUUGUUGAAGGAAUAUGUAUACAUGUAUAUUUUGGUAUACACUGAGCAACCACAACAUUAAAAUCACCUGCCUAACAUUGUGUAGGUACUGCCAAAACAACCCUGAUGCAUCAAGGCAUGGACUUCGCAAGACCUCUUAAUGUGUCCUGUGGCAUCUGGCACCAAGACAUUAGAUCCUUUAAGCCCUGCAUGUUGCGAAGUGGGCCCUCUAUGGAUCGCAUUUGUUGUUCCAGAACAUCCCACAAAUGCUUUCUCAGAUUGCUAUUUGGGGGCCAGAACAUCACCUUGAACUGUUUGUCAUGUUUCUCAAACCAUUCUUGAACAAUUUUUUUUUUCUUAUUUAAUUCUUUAUUUGUCUUGUGCAUGUGAAAAAACAGAUAACAUUUUAUUUUACAGUGCCCCGAUAGCAUCUAUAAGCUCAUUCUGAACAGUAGAUUGAUAAGGCAUGUGAGGAAACGGCACAAUUUUAUAUUAUAGUGUCAGGCUAUACAUUGUGAGAUUAUGUCAGGGUGACAGUCGCAGGUCUAAACAAGAGAUUACAAAGAGUUCAAGACUUUUCAGUUUAGAUAUUAACAUGAGUAUUUGCACCAGUUGCUUAAAACAUGCUUACAUGGGUAGUAGUGGUUUGUCAAUCGCCACAGCAGUAUUGGUAUGUACCUUUGCAAAGGGUUAACAUUAAGUUAUUAACAGGCUUGGUAGAAGUGGCUGAUUGUGCCUGACGAUUAACUGCUAUGAAGUGUAGUGUACAUUUGGGGUGCAAUUAAGUUGCGAGAGAUUCAUGUAUUGUAGGACUAUCCGAGACCCGAAUGUCUGCGUGUAUUACAAGGUGGGAGAUUUACGAACAAUAUGUGUUGUACCCUCUCUAGGUGCUAGUGUGCAUGGAUAUGUACGGUUAGGAAUGCAGCAGAGAGAGGGAGUUAGUGAACCACUGAGGCUAGUGAGACAGUGUAGCUCCAUCUGUGUACUCGGCAUGUGUUAAACAAGCAAUAUAUCACUGGGGUAUUUAAAAUAAUAUAAGUGGCAACAGGCCUAACUAAAACAUAGUAAUAAGCAUAACGGAUGAUGUUUGAUGAUGUCACUUAAUUUCAGUUGAGCGGGUCGACAUCCUGAGGGAGAAGCCCGGCUGUCAUCCAAUCCCUGUGUAUGGCAGUCCCCUCAGGCUUUGUGGUAGUCCACGCCAUGUCUGGUAGGGCUUCUUGAACAAUUUUUGCAGUGUGGCAGGGUGCAUUAUUCUGCUGAAAGUGGCCACCCUCAUCAGGGAACACCACUUACACGAAGGGGUGUAAGUGGUCUGCAACAAAUUUUAGGUUAAUGGUACGUGACAAAGUAACAGCUAUAUGAAUACCAGGACCCAAGGUUUCCCAGCACAACAUUUGCCAGAACAUAACACUACUUCCACUAGCCUGCCUUCUUCCCAGAGUGCAUCUUGCUGCCAUGUAAAUGAUGCACACACACCUGGCCAUCCUCCUGAUCUAAAAGAAAACGUGAUUCAUCAGACCAGGCAACCUUCUUCCAUUGCUCCAUGGUCCAGUUCUGAUGCUCACAUCCCCAUUGAAGGCAGUUUCGUCAGUGGACGGGGGUCAUCAUGAAAAACACCUAAGAAAGCCAGCCCAGUUCUGGAACAGCAUUAUUUGAAAUUAAGAUUAACCUGCUGCAGAAUGAUGGGAAGAAAGAAAGCACAGAGAAUGUUUGGAAUGGAUUAUGAUCUGAAGCAUGCCACAUCAUCUAUAAAACACAAUGCAGGCAGUGUCAUGGCAUGGGCAUGCAUGGCUUCUAGUGGCACGAGGUCAAUAGUGUUUAUUGAUGAGACAGAAGCAGCUGGAUGAAUUCUGAAGUGUAUAGGGAUAUAUUGUCUGCUCAGAUUCUGACACAUUCAGUGAAGUUGAUUGGACACUGCUCCACUUUAUAGAUGGACUUUGACCCACAACAUACUGCAAAAACCCAGGAGUUUUUUAAGGCAAUGAAGUGGAAUAUUCUGCAAUGGCCGAGUCAAACAUCUGAUCACAACCCGAUCAAACAUGCAUUUCCCAUGCUGAAGACAGAAAGACCCAUAAACAAACAAUAGCUGAAGACAGCUACAGUACAGGCCUGGCAAAGCAUCACAAAGGAGGAAACCCAGCAUUUUGUGAUGUCCAUAUGUUUCAGACUUCAAGUAGUCAUUGUCUGCAAAGGAUAUUAAAAUUACAAAAUAUUAAAAAUGAACAUUUUAUUUAUGAAUAUGUUCAUUUGUACAUUUACUUUUGAGCCUCUGAAAUAAGGGUAUGAUAAUAAAUGCAAUUCCUAAACAUUUUAUACGAUCUAAAUAUUUUUUUGUCAAUUGUUUUUAAAAAUAAUUUUUCAUAUCAAUGCUUGUCAAAUAAGAUAAAAAACUGUUGUGGACUAUAUAUAUAUAUAUAUAUAUAUAUAUAUAUAUAUAUAUAUACAGUUUAUAUAAGACAGGUAACAUUUGGUAAAGUGACAUGCACGAGAGUGUGGGAACCAAGCAUUAAUAGUUAUAUACAGUAGGGUUCUACUGCGAUGGGAACAGCCUAAAUUAGAAAGUAAACAUUAAUGAGUAUGAACACGUUGAUUAGCAAGUGUAGGUGGGGAGCUAGACACCUACUAGAAUGGGUAAGGCCCAUAUCAUCAGAGCUCUGGAGUGUAAGGAGCCAGGUUUUGCGACACCUCUUGGGAGGCUACAUAAAUUGUGGGUAGCCUAUAAGCUAAAUGAGAUACAAGUAAACUGAAAUAGCUAAAUAAACAUAAUAACUCAAACUGCAUUUAAGUACAAGAACUCAAGUUCCUGUUGUUAGUGCCAAACAACUUGUAGGGAAAAAUGGGAUAAUUUGAGAUGGGUUCUAGAAUUAACUGGAGGAACAGGUAAGCCCUAAGGAAGGUUGGAGAUUUGACAAAUGUAGAUAAUCUUUCUACUGUCCCGUUCUGUGUGACCAUGAGGAACAUUGGCCACAUCCAUCGGUACUUCAUUCCAGCAGCUCUCAGUUGGUUUGUGGAAGGAUUCAAAGACAGUAACCACUGCAAGGUAGACCAUGUGAGAUCUUGAUAGGUUGUCAGCAAGAUUCUCUUAUCCUGGAAUACUGAACAGCAGACAAUAAAAUCUCACACUUCGGAGAUAGGUGCCCUGCCAGACUUCGGGAGACGAGAAGUCCCAUCCAAGGAAAGCUUCUGGGCCUGAUUUGGUGAUAAGAGAGAGACCACAAGGCAUGUCACAUAAUGUGGCAGCUCUUCUAGUGUGACCGCAUCAGGAAUGCCCCUGAUCUUCAAAUGAUUGUGCCGAGAUGGAGUGACAGAGCAUAUUGUGAUCUUGUAAGGUUUGCACAGAAACGUCCAAUGACCACAGUCCUUAUUUAAGUUCACCAAUAGCCUCAUUAGAGGCCUUCACCGUAUCUGUGACCACUUGCAUGUCUGCCUUAAGGAUAGCCACAUCUGUCGCCAGUAAAUUCAUUAUCUCCACUACAAGGUUGGGGAAGUCCUGCUUGGUAACAGGUACUGACCCACCCUGUUUGUCUGUAGGAGCAUGUUCUGUUGGCUCAGAUCACGGGAGUGACUCCGUCUGAGUGAGGCUCUGUAAGACUUCCAAGCAGCGUGGCUCUUCUGUACCGCCAUUGCAGGCUGAUAUUGCAUUUGGAGAAGAUCCCCAAUAUCCCUUGACCUUGAGGGUAAGUCAAGCUGUGACUUCUGACACUUCUGUCCCAUAGCUGGUGUAAGUUUGGGCUGUGGAGCGCUAGAUACAGAUCCCACCUCAGGUACUCCAGAAGAAACAAGAUCACUGAGCAGACCAGCCUAAUUGAGGUCUGGGGUAGGCCCCAGAUCUGCGUUUCUACUAUUUCAUCUUUGUAAUGUGGAAAAAUGGCAUAGAUUGCUGUGGUAGGGUUCUCUGUGGUAAGUUCUAAUUGAUAGCCAUGUGGAUGCACAGUUUGGCCACCAAAAAUCAAGCUUUUAAAAGAGCGGAGCUAUGGUAAAUGGUGUCUGCUCCUUCACGAGGUCAGGCUCCACCCCUAUACAAUAUUUUUGUUUAACCUCUUGAAUUAAAGCUGUAUUAUUUAAUAUUCAUUGUGGUGGCAAACAGAGCCAAAAUUUAUUUUUAUUAUAGGACCCAAGAGACACAGAUUUAAUAUAUCACUUUUUACACUGCAGCCCAUAGAGUGGAAGAUUAGAAAAACCUAAUAGCUGGGCAUCUCUUGGUUUUUUUUUUUUUUUGUGGAGGUUCUGGUGGACUUAGCCUUAUUUUUCUUAUUUACAUUUUUAAUGGAGAGGCCUGGUCAUAUUUUGAUGAGAGAGCAGUUCAGAUAUCCAUUAUUAUAUUAUGAGCAAAUUACAUGCUUUGCAUAACUUCAUUUACUUUCAUUUUUAGUACAACUAGAGAGAGCGGCACAUUACUCUGAUCUGUGAAAGGAUUAAUUGGUGUGGAAUAACUUACCUAGUAAGACCUUAUGCCUGGGCUCACUAUGCGUAGGGUUUCGUGAAUAGCAAAUGUUGUGGUUUUUAUGGUUUACUGUGGUGCAUUCAUGCUCCACACAUAAUCCUUUACUAAUUGGCAUUGGCAUUAUAGAAUUACACCAUUUAGUAACCAGCAAUUCUGGCAUGAUAUUGCUGUACACAUAACAUUUUGGGCUCUAGUAAAUCAAGCUUCUAGAGUUUAUUGAAUAACCGUACAAGUUUUCCUUUGGUGGAAGAGCAGUUUGAGAUUCAGGAAAUCUGGAACCAGGAAGAAGAGGUAGGAGACAUAAUAUCUUAAAUAGUUACACAGACAAAUAUUCUAUCUGGUGUAAAUAAAUUAUGACUUUAUUAAGAUUUUAUUAGGAUCUAUAUUUGAUGUGUAAUCAAGUACUAAACUGGGACUAUCCCCACAUGACUUGAAUGGGAUAGUUUUAGACUGGAAUGUAGGAUCUCUCCAUUCACUGUGUUAUGUUCCCGUGUGGUUGAACAUCUAUAAAUAGAGGACAUUUCUCUCAUUCUAAGACUUGUAGAAAUGGAUACCAACCCAGGAAAAGGAUCUCCUUAUUAGUUGGAUAAUGACAGCAUACUUUAACAUGUAUCUUAAACUAUCUCACUUACUGUUUGCUAAAUACUUGUUUUUGUUUCUUCAGAAAAUGGGCUGCCAAAAAUGUAUUUUUGUUUAUUUUUUUGCUAAUUCACUAAACUAGGUUCUCUUUCGAUAUCAGUCUGUGUAUCUGUGUGUGUGUGUGUCAGUGUUUUGAUCAGUAUGAAUGUCAUUGUUUGUAUCUGUGUCAUUCUGUGUGUCUGUGUAACUGCGUAUGUGUAUUUGUAUGUGCAGAGACGUAACUAGAAAUUAUGGGGCCCGUGUUGCACAAAUUGCACUGGCCCCCCCCAGCCACUCCAUGUGUCGCAUUCACACCCCUCAGCCCUCUACGUGUUUCAUUCAUGCCUUACGGUGUCUGUGUAUCUGCAUGUUUGUAUUUGGGUAUGUGUGUAUCUGUAUGUGUGUCUGUGUGUUUAUCUGCUUGUGUGUCUUUGUGUAUCUGUGUGUCUAUAUCUGGAUGUGUGUCAAUGUGUGUCUGUAUUUGCAUGUGUGUGUGACACUGUAUAUGUAUAUGUGCAUACAUCUCAGCAGUCAAAUACCAAAACUACACACAAAUAUACCCCGGCAUUCAAAUAUCAAGACUACAUACAGAUACACCACUACAUUUUAAAAGGCAAACACUGCACACAAGUAAACCACUGUUUUCAAAUGGCAACAGUAAAAAAAAAAAAUCACUACACACAAAUAUACCCCUACAUUCACACACACAUACUCAUACAAAAGCAUCCUUACACAAACACUGCUCACUUCUAAAUGCAACCCUACACAGAUGGGCAAAUGAUAGAUCCCUUGCUGGCACAGCAUUGUGGAAGUUGUGCGACAGAUAAGGUUCUAACCUUUGGCCCAAUUUGCAAUAGGGGGCCCUAAAAGUUCUCUCUACUUUAGUUCUGCCGCUAGUCAUAUAGGUCUAAUUAUUUUGUAGUUUUGAAAGCGCUCCCUGGUUAAUGGAGCAACAAUAAUGUUAUGUAGUGAAAAUGAUAUACUGUUUUUAGGGUAAGAAGCUGAUCAAAGGUUAAGUUGAUAUUAAGAGGGUCUUACCUUAGUUAAAUGCGAAUGAACUCUCUUGGUAUUAAGAUAAUAUGGAACUUGAUUUGGUUGCCAUUUCUAUGGAGAGUAUGUCAGAUAUGUGACCUGUGAAAUUAUCCUUUCUUGCAUUAUUCCUCUGAAGACAUGAUUGUCUUGUGAGGGCAGUUCAUAAAGUGUUAAUCACAGUUUCUCUUACACAAAUCUUUUUAGGAGGAAAAGUGUGAAAAUUAUACACACACCCUUGUUGAUGCCAGCUGUGAAACUAAGGGGUAAUAAAAAAAAAAAAAAGGACUCUAUCAUGCCUGAACGACUCAUCUUAACCCCUUAAGGACACAUGAUGGAAAUAUUCCGUCAUGAUUCACUUUUAUUCCAGAAGUUGUGUCAUUGAGGGGUUAAAGGACACCUCCAGGCACCAAAGCAACUUCAUUGGAAAUAAGUUAUUAUGGUGCAAAGAGGUCCUGUAAGGUAUAAACUGUUAUUAAAGGACCACUAUAGUGCCAGGAAAACAUACUCGUUUUCCUGGCACUAUAGUGCCCUGAGGGUGCCCCCACCCUCAGGGACCCCCUCCCGCCCGGCUCUGGAAGGGGGAAGGGGUUUUUUACCUUUGGGCUGGGGUCCCCUCCUUACCCGCCCGCGCACACUGCGCGCCGCUUCAAGAAGAAGCAUUUACAAUGCUUUGGACGCUGCGUGCUCUCACUGUGAUUUUCACAGUGAGAAGCAAGCGCCUCCAGUGGCUGUCAAUGAGACAGCCACUAGAGGAUUAGGGGGAAGGCUUAACCCAUUCAUAAUUAUAGCAGUUUCUCUGAAACUGCUAUAAUUAUGAAAAAAUGGGUUAACCCUAGAAGGACCUGGCACCCAGACCACUUCAUUAAGCUGAAGUGGUCUGGGUGCCUAGAGUGGUCCUUUAAACAGUUUAAUCCCAAAGUCUGCAAGCCAGUACUUGAUUGCUCUGCCCCUGAAAUCCUACUGAAUGCCCAAAACUUAAAUCAGGAAACCUUGAACCUUACCUUUUUCAUGCUCUGUUUUCAAUGGGUAGCCACUGAUAGGAUUCAAUACUAUAAGGUUGUUAUGGUGCCCGGAGAGUCCCUUUAAAGUGCUAAAUCCUUUGAGAUCCCUGGUGGAUUAAUGAGUUAAUGUCUUUCACUGGCAGAUAAAUUCUACAUACUGCAGGGCAGCACAUUUCAUUGAAAUAUCUAUGAACUGCUUAGAAGUGAUAUGUAUCCAAGGAAACGCUGUGGAUUUGACAAUUCUAAUGCUGCAUGCGCAGAGCUUCAUUGCCACAACCCUGCACCACUUAUAGG